UACGUAGGGUGCGAGCGUUUGUCCGGAAUUAUUGGGCGUAAAGAGCUUGUAGGUGGUUUGUCGCGUCCGUUGUGAAAACUCGAGGCUCAACCUCGGGCUUGCAGUGGAUACGGGCAGACUAGAGUGCGGGUAGGGGGAGACUGGAAUUCCUGGUGUAGCGGUGGAAUGCGCAGAUAUCAGGAGGAACACCGAUGGCGAAGGCGGCCUACUGGACAGCACCUGACACUGAGACGCGAAAAGCGUGGGUAGCAACAG
rnacentral:rRNA from 1 species